CGUGGAGGCCACCCGGAACAUCUUCCAGGAGAACCUGGAUGAGCUGGGUUUAGGGGCGGAUCCCUUCAUGUUUUCCUAUCAUGAAGCAGCGAGUUUGAUGGACACGUCUGCCUUCCACUCCCCCACGUAUGAAUCAGAAUGCAGUUACAGCAGUGAGGAGAUGGAGCAGUUUCAGACGGAGGUGAAGCAGCUCCACACCCAGAUGAAGCAGCUCAAGCUGAUGCUGAAGGACAUGGAGCACAGCAAGAAGACUCUGGAGGAGGAGCUGCAGAAGACCUCGGAGG